rnacentral:tRNA from 1 species
GGCCAUAGCUCAGAUGGGAGAGCACCUGCUUUGCAAGCAGGGGGUCGGCGGCUCGAUCCCGCCUGGCUCCACCAGG